CUAUUAAAAAAUAUAUUUAAUUUUUAUCAAUAGCCUUCGCCCACCCUCGAUCUAUCCCCCACCCAUGGGACUCAAUUCCUCUUCAUUGUUGCCCACUGCCUAACUUCUCGCCGGUUUCCCUCCCUCCACCUCCAUGCCUUCUCCUUCUCAUCUCUUUUGCUCGCCUUCAUGAUGGCAUUAACUCCCUACUACCACCCGGCUCCCUAUUGUUUCACCUCCAUCC
rnacentral:lncRNA from 1 species